UGAGGGAAUAUUGGGUCAAUGGACGCAAGUCUGAACCAGCCAAGUAGCGUGCAGGAUGACGGCCCUAUGGGUUGUAAACUGCUUUUAUGCGGGGAUAAAGUGAGGGACGUGUCCCUUUUUGUAGGUACCGCAUGAAUAAGGACCGGCUAAUUCCGUGCCAGCAGCCGCGGUAAUACGGAAGGUCCGGGCGUUAUCCGGAUUUAUUGGGUUUAAAGGGAGCGUAGGCCGGAGAUUAAGCGUGUUGUGAAAUGUAGACGCUCAACGUCUGCACUGCAGCGCGAACUGGUUUCCUUGAGUACG
rnacentral:rRNA from 1 species